UUAAGCUAAGAAGAGCGUAGGGAGAAUGCCUUGGCAUUAGGAGCCGACGAAGGACGUGAUAAGCUGCGAUAAGCUGCGGGGAUCAGCAAGUAUGAAUUGAUCCGCAGAUUUCCGAAUGGAGCAAUCCGUAUGUGUAUGCACAUACAUCAUAUACUGAAUCAAAUAGGUAUAUGAGGGGAACCGCCUGAACUGAAACAUCUAAGUAGGGCGAGGAAGAGAAAUCAACCGAGAUUCUGUGAGUAGUGGCGAGCGAAAGCGGAAGAGGCUAAACCAUAGGUAGCAAUACUUAUGGGGUUUCGGACAGCAUUUAGUAUUGAUAAUUUCUAGUUGAAACGUGUGGGAAAACGUACCGAAGAGUGUGAGAGUCACGUAAGCGAAAGAGAGAAUCAGCGAGCUGUAUCCAAAGUACCGCGGGACACGUGAAACCCCGUGGGAAGAUGGGGGGACCAUCCUCCAAGCCUAAAUACUACCUAAUGACCGAUAGCGAAUAGUACUGUGAAGGAACGGUGAAAAGAACCCCGGGAGGGGAGUGAAAAAGAACCUGAAACCCUAUGCUUACAAGCACCGAGAGCACGUCAAAGUGUGAUCGGGUACCUUUUGUAGAAUGGUCCGGCGAGUUAUUGUAUGCGGCAAGGUUAAGUGCUUAAGGCACGGAGCCGAAGCGAGAGCAAGUCUGAAUAGGGCGAAAAAGUCGUAUGCAAUAGACCCGAAACCGAGUGACCUAUCCAUGUCCAGGCUGAAGUGGAGGUAAAACUCCAUGGAGGGCCGAACACACGUCCGUUGAAAAGGCCGGUGAUGAGGUGUGGAUAGCGGAGAAAUUCCAAUCGAACUCGGAUAUAGCUGGUUCUCUCCGAAAUAGCUUUAGGGCUAGCCUCGUGAAAGAUUACUGGAGGUAAAGCACUGAAUGGGCUAGGGGUCGAAAGAUUACUGAACCCUAUCAAACUAAGAAUGCCAGAUAAUUGAUUCACGGGAGUCAGACAAUGUGAGAUAAGUCUCAUUGUCAAAAGGGAAACAGCCCAGACCCACAGCUAAGGUCCCUAAACAUUGUUAAGUGGAAAAGGAUGUGGGGUUGCAUAAACAACCAGGAUGUUGGCUUAGAAGCAGCCACUCAUUAAAAGAGUGCGUAAUAGCUCACUGGUCGAGUGACCCUGCGCCGAAAAUUCAACGGGGCUAAACAAUGUACCGAAGCUUGGGAUUCUAAAGAAAUUUAGAGUGGUAGGAGAGCGUCGAAUAAGGGGUGAAGUCAGAGCGGAAGCGCUGGUGGACUUUAUUCGAGUGAGAAUGCCGGAAUGAGUAGCGAGAAUUAUGUGAGAAUCAUAAUGGCCGAAAAUCUAAGGUUUCCUGAGGAAGGUUCGUCCGCUCAGGGUAAGCCGGGAGCUAAGGUGAGGCGGAAACGCGUAGCCGAUGCACAUACGGUAGAGAUUCCGUAGCCUCCGAAAAGUAAAGCACAGGGACGCUUCAGAAGUGUUACGCCGGGCGAUGGUUGCCCCGGUUGUAAAGGACACAAUUGAGUGGAAGGUAACAUGGAUGGAGACAAGAAAAGCUGUGUGUAUCUGGAAGGAGCCCGUACCGCAAACCGACACAGGUAGAUAGGAAGAAGAUUCUAAGGCCAGCGGGAGAAGGGUUGUUAAGGAACUCGGCAAGUUGACCCCGUAACUUCGGGAGAAGGGGUGCUUACGAAGGUAAGCCGCAGAGAAUAGGCCCAAGCGACUGUUUAGCAAAAACACAGCUCUAUGCUAAAUCGAAAGAUGACGUAUAUGGGGUGACACCUGCCCGGUGCUGGAAGGUUAAGAGGAGAUGUGAGAGCAUUGAAUUGAAGCCCCAGUAAACGGCGGCCGUAACUAUAACGGUCCUAAGGUAGCGAAAUUCCUUGUCAGGUAAGUUCUGACCCGC
rnacentral:rRNA from 1 species